rnacentral:rRNA from 1 species
AUUCCAGCUCCAAUAGCGUAUACUAAAGUUGUUGCAGUUAAAAAGCUCGUAGUUGAAUUUCUGGAUGCGAUAGAUGGUCGGCACCUCACGGUGUCUGCACCUAUCAUUCGCGUUCAUCCUCGGGAGGAACGUGUGGUCUCUUUAGUGAGCCCGCUCGGGAAUCUCGUCAUUUACUGUGAGCAAAAUAGAGUGUUCAAAGCAGGCUUAUGCCGUUGAAUAUAUUAGCAUGGAAUAAUAAGAUACGACUUUGGUCUAUUUUGUUGGUUUACAUUCCAAAGUAAUGAUUAAUAGGGAUAGUUGGGGGUAUUCGUAUUCAAUUGUCAGAGGUGAAAUUCUUGGAUUUAUGGAAGACGAACUACUGCGAAAGCAUUUACCAAGGAUGUUUUCAUUA